AUGUAUGGCUAUACCACCAUGACAUGCCUGAUCUUGUCUGAUGUCAAAAGCUAAGCUGGAUUGGGCCUGAUAAGUAUUUAAAAUGAGUAUUAAAAUUUUAAAUUCAGCAAACAUUGAUC
rnacentral:rRNA from 1 species